rnacentral:lncRNA from 1 species
CAUGUAUUCCACUAAGUAAUGGAUGAAGAUUUUUACCUGGAGUAUUUCAUUAAUUGAGAUCUAGGAUGUGGUGUUUAAGUGUUCCCUUUGUUUAUUUUUUUUGAGCAGUGUAUUAAGUCAACUUUGGGUCCUCUCACUCUGGAAGAUAUAUUGGAACAUUCUGGGUCAAGGAGGUGGAGAGUUGAUGGAGUUGAAAAGCUUUGGAGUGCUGCUAAAGGAUGAGAAUACCCACAGCCCACACCUGGUGACCACAUGUUUGAAUGACGGGUUACUGUGCAGGAUCUGCUCCCAGCUGAAGUGGCAGAUUGAGCAGGGCAUAGCAGGAACCUUCCUCUGAAGUCAUUCAUCUCCUACAACGCUGAUGCACCGUUGAUGUUCCCGUAAGUUUAUUUUCAGAGUCUUUUUUCAUCCUUGAAUUUACUGGUAAAAGUUUUUGAUCAGAGGAAUAUAAUUAUAAAACUCUGGAAUAGAAGUGCCAUCAGAUGCAAUGACUGACUUUCCUGAGGCUUUUUAGGGUGUCUCUUAACACAGAACAUUCACAGGAGUAUUUGAGUAUACUGCUUGUACAGUUUAAUUUUCUGUGUUUCAGUUGCAGCUGCCCCUGCCAAGGUUAUCCAGUGCUGCUGGAUGAAUAUGACAGGUAUUCUUUUUGAGCUGUACCACACAAAUGGCUGUCAUUCAUUGUUGUGAUGAAACCUAAACUGAAAAGCUGGAAUUACCGGCAGAUUGAUCAGUGGUGACUCUCGGUUUUCUGAACUUAAAUGGCAGCAUCAGGUAUUAUUCAUGAGUGAAAUGAUUUGCAGUCUGACUGAGUUUUUCUUAUCCUACAGAAUGGGAUCCAGUUUGGGGCCACUCCGUUUCAUUAUACCUGCAUGCUGCAUGUGGUAAGGUAUUGUCAUUUGUUCAAUAUAUGAUAAAAUGUAUAUAUAGCGAGGCAAAUAUUUCACUGAUACAAUAAUGUUCAAUAACAUCUGCAUUCAAGCUGCCAAUUAUGACCUCUGCUGGGGAAACUCAGUCAUUGCAGCAUGAAUAAUCAUGAUCAUCAGUGGUUUAACAUCUUGCUCUGUCUUUUCUAAAGUUGUCUUGAAACUUGAAAAAUAAAGUUUCUCUUAUGUAACA